UACAGAGGGUGCGAGCGUUGUCCGGAAUCACUGGGCGUAAAGGGCGCGUAGGCGGCUUGAUAAGCGUGCGGUGAAAGCCCGGGGCUCAACCCCGGGUCGGCCGUGCGAACUGUCGAGCUGGAGCACUGUAGAGGCAGGUGGAAUUCAUGGUGUAGCAGUGAAAUGCGUAGAGAUCAUGAGGAAGACCAGUGGCGAAGGCGGGUCUCUGGACAGUUCCUGACACUGAGGCACGAAGGCCAGGGGAGCAAACGGG
rnacentral:rRNA from 1 species